UACGUAGGGGGCGAGCGUUGUCCGGAAUUAUUGGGCGUAAAGGGCGCGUAGGCGGCUUGACAAGUGGCGGGUGAAAUCCCUCGGCUUAACCGAGGAACUGCCUGCCAGACUGUCUUGCUUGAGACCGGGAGAGGUGAGUGGAAUUCCCAGUGUAGCGGUGAAAUGCGUAGAUAUUGGGAGGAACACCAGUGGCGAAGGCGGCUCACUGGACCGGAACUGACGCUGAGGCGCGAAAGCGUGGGGAGCAAACAGG
rnacentral:rRNA from 1 species